rnacentral:pre_miRNA from 1 species
GUAGUAUUCCCUCCGUCCCAAAAUUCUUUGUCUUACAUUUGUUUAGAUACGGAUGUAUCUAACACUAAAAUGUAACUAGAUACAUCCGUAUUUAGACAAAUUUAAGACAAGAAUUUUGGGACGGGGGGAGUACAAA